UCUGGGAAUAUAGAAGAAAAUAUUCUCUUCGGCAGUCCAAUGGACAAGGCCAAGUACAAGAACGUUAUACACGCUUGCUCACUGAAACGGGACUUGGAGCUCUUCUCACAUGGUGAUCAGACCAUUAUCGGUGACAGAGGCAUAAACCUCAGCGGUGGUCAGAAGCAGAGAGUUCAGCUAGCGAGAGCGCUUUACCAGGAUGCUGAUGUAUAUCUGCUAGACGACCCUUUCAGCGCUGUUGACGCUCACACUGGCUCCGAACUCUUCAAGGUGCACCUUUUCUUUUCUACUUCUUUCCAAAUAAACAAACAACUACCUUUUUCAAACACUGCCUUGCGUGAAUGCGACUCCCUUCAUCAAGCUUGAGUUUGCGUAUCUACAGGAAUAUAUAUUGACGGCUCUGGCAGACAAGACUGUGAUAUUUGUAACUCAUCAAGUCGAGUUUCUUCCUACCACGGAUCUUAUAUUGGUGAGGACUUCUUCUGCCAUUGCCCUUCUGCUAAAAAUGUUAUACCAAGAGCUGUUUUUAAUGUUAAGACACAGAGAAAAGUAUAUAACACCAAGAAACCACUUGAUGAAAUUUUUGUGUUUAUCUGCAGGUCCUUAGGGAUGGCCAAAUUAUACAGUCAGGUAAGUAUGAGGAACUGCUACAAGCAGGAACGGAUUUCUUAUCACUUGUGUCUGCUCAUCAUGAAGCAAUUGAAGCAAUGGACAUUCCAAGCCAUUCAUCAGAGGACUCUGAUAAAACGGCUUAUAAAUAAGAAGCAACAUGAAUACGGCUGGGGGAGAUUUGAACAAAGUGAACUUGGAAGCAGAAGAGAUCGAACAUGGGAAAUGUCAUUGGUCAGAACAUAGGAAAUGUACGCUUCUAAUGUAAAUAGCAGAAAUGCAAAGAGGAAUUGCGACUGGACAUCAUCUUCAUUUAAUGUAUUGAAAUCGCUGUCCGUAAGGAAAAUACUCAGUAAAAAAAUCUCUAAAACCAAAACUUUUCUUGUUUUUAUUUUUAAUCUUUCAUGUUAUUGUUUUUAUUUAAUAAUCUUUCAUGUUAUUGGUUUUAUUUUGUUAGUUUAGAAUUAUAAUUUGAUGAAGUACAAAGUAGUGUUUGAUUAUAUAUAUAUAUAAAAUCAUUGACAAAACAUAAUAAAGUUUGGGUCGUUUCAAUGCACAAAUAUUAUAAGGUUUACAAACAAAACAUUGACAAAACAAAGAAAAAAAUAAGAAAUUUGAAACAAAUAAAAAUGUGAUGUUUGUUGAAUGUGUUAAUUUAAGUGUUAGAAUAACUAUAAUGACAAAAGAUAUCACAAUAAUUACAAUAAUAAAAAGUUUAGUUUUUUGAUUAAAAAGUUUACAAUCGUUUUAAACUUUUUAUAAAAAUAAAACUUUAUAAAAAUUUUUUUAUAAAGUUUAUUUAAUGGUUUUAUUAAAAAAAUGAAUAAAGUUUUGUUUUUAUUUUUAUAAAUUUAAAAGGUUUGUUUUUGUUAAAGUUUUAUUAAAAACAGUUUACAAAGUUUUAUUUUUAUUAAAUACGUUUUACAAAGUUUUAUUUUUAUUUUUUUUACAUACGUUUUAAUAAUGCUAAAAUUUAAAAGUAAUAAAAAUUAAAAAAUAUUUUCAAAAAAGUAUAAUAAAAAUUUUAAUAUUUUUUAAUAAAAAUGAAUAGUGCAUACACUUUUAGGGAAGUUGGAAUCUUAUAAAUAUUUGUAUUGAUAUUUUUGACAGGGUAAAUCGACCAAAUCACGUUUUAGGGAAAUUAGUAUUUUACAAAUAUUUUUAAAAUAUUUUCUUAACUGAAACUUCCAUAAUUUUCGCUAAAGUCAAAUUCUCUUAUCCGUAGAAGGUACUUUAUACACUGCGUAGAACCAAGAUAAAAAUCUCAUAAGUUGAUUCUACCUCAUAUAGACGUAUGAGCAUUGUCUAAAUUUUGCAUUCCGAGAAUCUUAGAAUAUCUCAUAAAAGUAGAAACUGCAUUCUGAGAAAAAGUACCUAUUUUUACAACUAGUAGAAUUCGCAUUCCAUAUAUUUAAAAGUUUAAUUAAAAAUAGAGUGUUCAUUCUAAAAAAACUAGACGAACUUGUUUAAUAUGGAAUUCAAUUUCUACUAAUUCAUUUUCCGUAGAAGACGAAAUCUGUUUUUAGUAGAACGUAAAUUAAAUUUUAAUUUAUCAAGUUUUUCAAUAAAAAGAAUAUCAGUUUGUGUAUAUGAAUGUUUUAUUAAUUGUCUCUAUUUUUCUAUUUUUUUAUUCAUAAAACUAUUUACAUUUCAUUAAAUUUUAGUAAUGAAAAGAGUAAAAAAAAAAUGGACAAAAAAAAUUUUAUACUAAAAAGACAACUAUACUAUUUUUUGAUCCAUUUUGGCAAUUUUCCCAAUAAAUAACCGGACACUACUGCUAUUUAAGGCCAUAUAUAAUAUGAUUGCGUCUGAAGAUCGAAAAACCUCGACUGCGUCUACAUUAUAUAUAAUCUGGUGUAUGUAUGCGUGUGUGAGAGAGAGAGUUUCAGAUUUAAAGGUACGAAGAAGAAGAAGAAGAGGAGAAAGCAAAUCCAAAUUGAUCCUACAUUUUGCGACUCAAUCUCUCUCUCUCUCUCUGUUGUAACGCCAUUAUCACACACAGCUGGAAACAUCUCUUCUACUCUCUCUCUCUUCUCGGCUAGGGCGGGGAGAGAGAAAGAGAAGCCACAUUGUCUUCCAUCACAGGUUUUGUCAUAAAUUUAAAUUUUUCAUGUGUGUGUGUUUUGUCUUCUUGUGUCUUUCUCUAGAUAACAUCGAUGCAACACAACAAAAAGUCGUUUAGGCUCUGAUGUGUUAUUCAACGUGUUAGGCUCUGACGAAAAGUCGUUUUGGUAACAUGUGCGAUGUGUCUUUCAGGCUCUGCGUUUCUCUCUACCACCGUCGUGACUCCUCUGCUCAUAAGACACAUCUUUACUCUCGCUUCUUCCUCUGCUUACAUUACAUUGAAUUGAACUGCUCUUUCUUCAAUGCUCUCUAGCUCAGAAAUCUCAUUAAUCUAAUUAUGAGUAUGGGCACGCUCUUGAGAGCUCUUCGUGACUUACCACUCGUGGAAGCGUCUUCGAUCUGCAUCACUUUGGCUCUUCUCUUAGUGUUUAUCAUCGAUAUCUCCGCCAGACGCUUGCUUCUCUGCCUCCGUCGCGGUCCUUUCCUCAAACACGACUCUGUAGGAAACUCUAGUUCCGGAGACGCCCGCGAGCUUCAAGUCACCAUUGGUUACAAAUUCUCGGUUCUUUGCUGUUUCUUUGUCUUAAUCGUGCACGUUUCGGUUUUAGUGUUGGAUGUUGUCGGAGUAGCUAAGGAAAGAAACGAGAUUAGUGUUCUUUUCUCGCCGGUUACAGAGGUUGUAGCUUGGUUAGUGUUGUGCGCAUCAGUUGUUCGAUGUAAUUACACCUCUGCGGAAAAGUUUCCUUUGCUGCUGAGGCUGUGGUGGGUUGUGGGCUUCUUGAUUUGUUUAUGGGCUUUGUUCAUAGACUCCAGAGAGAUUCUUGUGAACGGCUCGAACCAUUUGUCUUCACAUGUUGUUGGGAACUUUGUUUCAGCUCCUGCUCUGGCUUUCCUCUGCUUCGUGGCUCUCAGAGGUGUAUCAGGUCUUCGAGUUAUUACUACACAUUCACAUCUUCUUGACCCUCUGCUUGUCGAAGAUGAAGAAGAAGAAGAAGAGAAAGCUGGGUGUCUCAGUGUUACUUCCUAUAGUGACGCCGGGUUGUUCAGCCUCGCUACGCUUUCGUGGCUGAAUCCUCUCCUCUCUCUUGGCGCCAAGAGGCCGUUGGAUCUCAAGGACAUUCCUCUGCUCGCUCCCAAAGACCGGGCAAAGACCAACUACAGAAUCUUGAACUUUAACUGGGAGAAGUUAAAGGCUGAGAAUCCCUCGAAACCGCCUUCUCUCGCUUGGGCCAUCUUGAAGUCGUUUUGGAAAGAAGCGGCUUGUAAUGCAGUCUUUGCUGGCUUGAACACUCUUGUUUCUUAUGUGGGUCCUUAUUUGGUGAAUGACUUUGUUAAUUAUCUGGGUGGGAAAGAGACUUACCCUCACGAGGGUUACAUCCUCGCUGGUAUCUUCUUUGCGGCCAAACUCGCAGAGACUUUGACAACCCGGCAGUGGUAUCUUGGUGUGGAUAUCUUGGGGAUGCAUGUCAGAUCAGCUCUAACGGCUAUGGUGUACAGAAAAGGGCUCAAACUCUCGAGUAUAACCAAGCAGAACCACACGAGCGGCGAGAUUGUGAACUACAUGGCCGUUGAUGUCCAGAGAGUAGGUGACUACUCUUGGUACCUUCAUGAUAUGUGGAUGCUUCCUCUACAGAUUGUACUUGCUCUCGGGAUCUUGUACAGGAGUGUGGGAAUGGCGGCUGUAGCUACGUUGGCGGCCACAGUUUUCUCUAUUAUCGCCACCAUCCCAUUGGCCAAAGUCCAAGAGGACUAUCAAGACAAAUUGAUGUCUGCUAAAGAUGAGCGGAUGAGGAAGACUUCGGAGUGUUUGAGGAACAUGAGGAUUCUGAAACUGCAGGCUUGGGAGGAUCGGUACAGGGUCGUGCUUGAGGGAAUGAGGAGCACGGAGUUCAAAUGGCUUCGAAAGGCUUUAUACUCCCAAGCGUUUAUCACGUUUAUAUUCUGGAGUUCGCCUAUCUUCGUAGCUGCAAUCACGUUUGCUACGGCCAUAGGCCUAGGAACUCAGCUCACUGCAGGAGGCGUUCUCUCCGCGCUUGCAACGUUCAGGAUUCUUCAGGAGCCGCUUAGGAAUUUUCCUGAUCUGGUGUCAAUGAUGGCUCAGACUAAAGUGUCUCUUGAUCGUAUAUCGGGGUUUCUGCAAGAGGAAGAGCUCCAGGAAGACGCUACGAUAAUCCUUUCUCAAGGUAUGACAGAGACAUCUGUGGAGAUCAAAGACGGUUGUUUCUCUUGGGAUCCUUCGUGGGUAAGGCCAACUUUGUUUGAUAUUCAUCUAAACGUCAAGAGAGGAAUGCGAGUAGCUGUUUGCGGAGUCGUCGGUUCCGGAAAAUCAAGUUUUCUUUCUUGUAUACUUGGAGAAAUACCUAAAAUCUCGGGUGAAGUAAGUGAAACACUUGAACAACUUUCGAAACAUGUGUGUCUGUCUUCAAUAUUUUUCAGGCCUAAUCAAAUUUGACGAGUUGUACACUGAAAUACACAGGUCAGAAUAUGCGGUAGUGCUGCUUAUGUUUCACAAUCCGCAUGGAUCCAGUCUGGGAAUAUAGAAGAAAAUAUUCUCUUCGGCAGUCCAAUGGACAAGGCCAAGUACAAGAACGUUAUACACGCUUGCUCACUGAAACGGGACUUGGAGCUCUUCUCACAUGGUGAUCAGACCAUUAUCGGUGACAGAGGCAUAAACCUCAGCGGUGGUCAGAAGCAGAGAGUUCAGCUAGCGAGAGCGCUUUACCAGGAUGCUGAUGUAUAUCUGCUAGACGACCCUUUCAGCGCUGUUGACGCUCACACUGGCUCCGAACUCUUCAAG
rnacentral:lncRNA from 1 species